UCGUAAUACACAAAAUCUGUAUUGUAAUUCACCAUUAUGGCCGAAGAAAAAAGAAAGGUAAAAGGAUGCUACUGUAUUCGGCAAAAGUUUCCGGAGAUGCAGAAGAGGCAGGAGCAGUGCAAACGGAAGAGGCAAACGCUCGUAUACAACCCGGAGGAGGAAAUGUAUCACGAGCCAUACAUGAGGGAUUUACGAAAGGAAUUUUCAGAUGUCUCUCUAUUGUGCGAUUCGAAAAUUGAAUUGCCAUGGCGAGAUAUCGCGUUACCAGCAGCCGGCAUGAAAAUUCGUCAAAAAGUUUCGUUGACUUCUUUAAAUAAUCACCAGGAGUCAGUUAACGACAAAGAUUCUGGGAAAGAGCUCACAACAGAGGAAUCCAUGGGCACUAUGACUUUACCGUGGAAAGACCUAAUAAUUACUGAAACCGUGCAGUCCGGUCUGGCUGAUCCUAAAGGUUGCGACUCCGCGCUAGAAAUUCCAUGGAACGAUCUUGUGCUUGAAAAGCCGAUAGAAAUACGGGCACCGUUAGAAGAAGCCUGUGCCAACGAUGACGUUGAAAUUCCGUGGGAUGACAUUUUAAUACCUCGAAAUAUAGUGAUUGAGUCACAAAAAAAGAAAAAGCAUCCAUCUUCGAAGUAUCCGUCGCGCGGGUUGGCAAGCAUGGGGUGCACUAGAUGUAAAAGAUGUUGCCUACAAAGCAGUACAGGAACAAGAUCAGCUAGUUCCUGGAAAUAGAUCUUUACCGCUUAAUAAUGCCGGCGCCUUUGCAUCAGAGGGAAAUACAGAAAGGGAACAUUUUAUUUUUCCCAUUCUUAAUCUCAUGGAAUAUAAUAUGUUAAAAGUGUAACAUGUACUUGUACAGUUGCGUACUAUCACAUUUUAUUUGAAAAACAGGAAAGGAAAAAUACAUUUUUAUCGAAUUUUUCAAGUAAAUGCAUAUGUGGACGUUCAUACAUAAUGAAACACUGAUCACAGGGGUCACGUUGGGAUUCGAACGGGCUCGACGAUGGCGCUGGUGGCGCUAAACACCAGGUCGCCAUGAUUAUUACCCGCUUGGUGAUCGUGAUUGGCGGCAGUCGGCACUUGCCAGUAGACGCGACUGGUGGUUCGUUCCUAUCGCAGUGAGAUUGAACGCUGCACACUGAAAAUGGCGUAGCAAGGUGGUAUAAUGCUGUAAUCAGUAUCUAAUAUAAACGUAUCGUGAAAGGCCUUGAGAAGUGUUGGAGUGUUCGCUAUUCGACUUUCCGAUCAUCCGCAACGAUACCGUCCAAACCAAGAGCGUUGUGUUUAACCCGAUGGAUCGUUUCUUCUUGAUAGCAGCGUGAAAAGUGUGUUAUGUGAUGGUGACUUGUACUGUGCUUUGACAGCGGAUGUGUUCGCGUUCCUCGUGACGUUCCGUAGCUCGAACGAAGCCGCAGUCCUGACGAAUCAAUCGUGAUUCGAUCGCCACGCGGAAAGAAACGAGGAAUAGCGAUCGUGCUCACGGGAAAUCGAGAAUCUUUCCUCGUGACAGCUUGACGACCUCGACUCCAGACGAGUUCAAGAUGGCGCCACCGGCAUUUUGACACUUGCCCAAGAUCCGUCAGCUGGAUUUUACUGCCGUACAGUUUUCUCUACUAUGAGCAGAGAAUUUUUAGUUUCCUGUGCACCCUACACCUAUCAGGUAAGGAGGAGUGUCUUCAGUGGUGCCGAUGGAUGAUGCCUUAAAAAAGUACUGUCAGUCCAAAGGUUAACAAGGAAAAUGUUUUUAAAGUGUAUUCUAUUUCAAAACGAAAUUGACAACGAAAUAUCCAGAACAUAAAUAUCCAUAUAUCCAAAAACAAGAACUGCAACUUCGCUAUUCGAGAUUUCCUUACAAGGUUGAUCUUUCUGUUUCGAAAUUUAACAAAAAACUCGCAUGUCUGUAAGCUAUAAUUCACUGAGCAGUCUUGCCAGACAUACAAGGUUAGUUACACAAGACUUACCAGACACACGGUGAAUCAUACGCGUCCGCAAACACCUGUCUAAUAGAAUUACGUUCACAUGGAGGGAUCGCCGAAAUGAUAAUAUUAUGACAGGAAUAAUUCACAAGAAU